AAGGCUCCACUUCUGAACCACCUCCACGUCCUGGCUGGGUUAGGAAAUGUGGAUUGCAACCGUACAUUGGUGAGGUUAUGGAAGUUGUGUUCCACCAUCACACCGCUAUCUUGAAUGGAACCACACAAGCAUGUAAAGGACAAUUUACAUGUGUACCUGCAUAGAAAUAUUCGAGCACCGUUACGGAUGUUGGUAAUUUAAGGAUAUUAAGCAAGAGCCGCCGCCGACCUGGUGUCAGCAUUGGUGUGGUGGCCUGCCCGGUGGCUGGAAAAGUGAAGAGGCUAUGGGGCGUUGGGGCAGCAAGGAAUUACCACCACCCUUGCUGCCCAUUUCCCGGUCAUAUGCACAGGUAUAUGUGCCAUGUUAUGAAAACAGCAGCGGCAGCAACAACACUGAACAGAAAAAUAACAGUAGCAGCAGCAAUAGCAACAAGAACAAUGGCGAGAAUGAAUGGCAGAAGCGGCAGCAGCAGCACCAGUGGCGAGAAAAAUGACAGCAGCAGUAGCAGCAGCAACAAUAAUGGCGAGAAAAAUGGCAACAUCAACAACAACAUUAAUAAUGGUGAGAAAAAAAGGCAGCAGCAACAGCAGCAGAAACAAUGGCGGGAAAAACGGCAGCAGCAGCAGUGAGGAUUCAUCUGUCAAAGAAGACUGCAGACUUGAACAAUUUGAUAGUUUUCUUGAUCCUCCCACUGCCAUAGGACUUGGUUUAAUUCCGGCCUCUGCCUUUGGUCCUGGAAUGAUAAUAUAUCAGUGCUAACUGGAUAUUGUUCCAAUCAGUUUUGGACAUCACCUUCCAAUUAGAGUUGUAAUUUUCAAUAGAUUCUCUCUUUACUGCAUACAAUAUGGUGGUCAUGAUUUCUGGUAUUUUGUAACAAAUUUGUGUACACGCAAAACACACCCACAAACCUAAACUUCAUAUUUUUUAACAAACCACCAUAACCACAAAUGGUUUCUUGUUGAAAAGCAUAAUUCAAACAUUCUGUGGUACUUAAGAGUAAAAUCUCACUAAACUGAACCCAAAA